rnacentral:snoRNA from 1 species
UCCUAUGAUGGCAUGAAAUCUUUGAGACCUGAUUGACAACUAUAAGCAUUAUUGCUGAGGAC